CAACCUUUAGCCAACUUACACAGUACCAUGCGUCCCAAUAAUAUCGGAAUUACUUUGCUCCUCAUAAUUCUUGAGCUGAUUGCCACCCUGUGUCAUUCGAGUGGGGCCGGCUUAACUGCAACAAUGAGAAGACCGAAGCAUUCUGGGGGAUAUGAGACGCAAUUCCAACCUGAAUUCGAAGACAUUGAUGCCACACGACAUGGACGAAGC